rnacentral:rRNA from 1 species
GAUGAACGCUGGCGGCGUGCCUAAUACAUGCAAGUCGAGCGAAUGGAUUAAGAGCUUGCUCUUAUGAAGUUAGCGGCGGACGGGUGAGUAACACGUGGGUAACCUGCCCAUAAGACUGGGAUAACUCCGGGAAACCGGGGCUAAUACCGGAUAACAUUUUGAACCGCAUGGUUCGAAAUUGAAGGCGGCUUCGGCUGUCACUUAUGGAUGGACCCGCGUCGCAUUAGCUAGUUGGUGAGGUAACGGCUCACCAAGGCAACGAUGCGUAGCCGACCUGGGAGGUUGAUCGGCCACACGGGGACUAGGAAACGGCCCAGACUCCUACGGGAGGGAGCAGUAGGGAAUCUUCCGCAAUGGACGAAAGUCUGACGGAGCAACGCCGCGUGAGUGAUGAAGGCUUUCGGGUCGUAAAACUCUGUUGUUAGGGAAGAACAAGUGCUAGUUGAAUAAGCUGGCACCUUGACGGUACCUAACCAGAAAGCCACGGCUAACUACGUGCCAGCCGCCGCCGUAA